rnacentral:rRNA from 1 species
GCAGUCGAACGGGAUCCUGCAAGCUUGCUUGCGGGUGAGAGUGGCGAACGGGUGAGUAAUGCGUGACCAACCUGCCCCAUGCUCCGGAAUAGCUCCUGGAAACGGGUGGUAAUGCCGGAUGUGCCGGGCUCCUGCAUGGGGGUCCGGGAAAGCUCUGGCGGCGUGGGAUGGGGUCGCGUCCUAUCAGCUUGUUGGCGGGGUGAGGGCCCACCAAGGCUUCGACGGGUAGCCGGCCUGAGAGGGCGACCGGCCACAUUGGGACUGAGAUACGGCCCAGACUCCUACGGGAGGCAGCAGUGGGGAAUAUUGCACAAUGGGCGCAAGCCUGAUGCAGCGACGCCGCGUGCGGGAUGGAGGCCUUCGGGUUGUAAACCGCUUUUGUUUGGGAGCAAGCCCUUCGGGGUGAGUGUACCUUUCGAAUAAGCACCGGCUAACUACGUGCCAGCAGCCGCGGUAAUACGUAGGGUGCGAGCGUUAUCCGGAUUUAUUGGGCGUAAAGGGCUCGUAGGCGGUUCGUCGCGUCCGGUGUGAAAGUCCAUCGCCUAACGGUGGAUCUGCGCCGGGUACGGGCGGGCUGGAGUGCGGUAGGGGAGACUGGAAUUCCCGGUGUAACGGUGGAAUGUGUAGAUAUCGGGAAGAACACCAAUGGCGAAGGCA